CCCAACUGAUCCGCCAAACUAGCGAAAUUAGAAUCGCGCACAAGGAUCGAUAGAAGAAAAGAUGGUCCUUUUUUUUUUUGCCCCCCCGACGAAUCAAUCAUUGGCAGCAGCACGGCCGAUGGAAUGAGACUGUACAGUAAAACGACAUGGAAGCACGGGAAUUGAUGGAUGGAUGGAUGGAUUACCUGGAUGAAAUGGCACGGCGAGGCGCCGACGACGGCGGCGGCGGCGGCGGGGCGGAGAAAUAAUACCCGGCGGGGAUCUGCAGAGGGGGAGGGUGGAGUAGCGGCCUGGCGGGAGAGGGAGAGGAAGAGGCGAGAGCGUGGUGGUGGUGGUGGAAGAGGAGACGACGACUUGGCCUGGUUGUGCUGUGGGGGAAGAGAAGAGACCGGAGGAGGGGAGGGGAGGUGGGGAUUCGGCUGGAUGGAUGGUGUGUUGGAUUGACCGGGCAACCAUGCC
rnacentral:lncRNA from 1 species